GACAGAGGUGCCAAGCGUUAGGCGGAAUCACUGGGCUUAAAGCGUGUGUAGGCGGACCGUUAAGUGCCUUGUGAAAUCCCACGGCUCAACCGUGGAACUGCUGGGCAUACUGGCGGUCUUGAGUCACUCAGGGGUUGCCGGAACAAAUGGUGGAGCGGUGAAAUGCGUAGAUAUCAUUUGGAACGCCAAUGGCGAAAGCAGGCAACUGGGGGUGAUCUGACGCUGAGACACGAAAGCCAGGGGAGCGAACGGG
rnacentral:rRNA from 1 species